GAAUAAUCCGUCGAUCUGUUCAAAAAUCUUGGAACAUCAUGAUUCUCGGUGAAAUUACCAAGAAUUGUGGUGUCCAUGGAAGUUGCGCGAGCCUCCAAAAUAGCCUUUUGGUAAAAUAUAUUCAUAGACUGUUUGGGUGGAAAAAAUGUGUUUUCUAUCUGAUAAUAUAAGGGAUAAUUCGCCGCAGAUGGUAUAUAUUCGAGAUACUUUGCAAUAAAUUUGGGGUCACCAUGAUAAACCUCGCCAAACGCAAAGACGUUGGCUGCUGCGAUGAAAGGCGGAUAAAAUUCUUUCUGUACAUGCUUCGCCGUAUCUAUUCUCAACCCAUCGAAAUGAUAGGUUUGGAUGAGGUCACGAAUCCAAUUUUGAAAAAAAUUAUGCACCUCUUGAUCCUCUGUCCGUAUAUCCAUUAAACUAACAACCUCAUCGCCAAGCCAAGCAAUUUCACAGUCCCAAGUAUCAUCAUAAUUAUGAAGGAAUCUUUUAGGAUGAUAAUGUGAAGGUGAGUUGAAGGGAGCGUAUUUGGAGUAAUCUAUGGGAGAAUCACCUGCGUGAGCCAUGUGAUUGACGACGAUAUCGAUCAUACAAAGCAUAUUUCUUUUGUGUAGUUGGUCAACAAGUUCCGUCAAAUCCUGUUUGGUACCGAAAUGAGGAUUCAAUUGAGUUAAAUCCUCGGCCCAAUAACCAUGAUACGCUUCUCCAUAACCGGUUACACCUUCUAUGUUUUUAACAAUGGGGCUAAUCCAAACGGCAGUACAUCCCAGACUUUGAAUAUAAUCUAAUUUUUGAAUAAUACCUCUCCAAGUUCCCCCCAAAUACAUUCUACCAGUCGAUGGAGCAGUGGUACAAUGAUCAUCAAGGGCGAAUCGAUCAGUCAAAAUUUGGUAAAUGCAUUGUCUUCUCCAUAUAUCUUUAUUUUUUUCAUAAUUUUCUCCAAAAUCAUAGAUGAUUGGUAUUUGUUUAUCUAGACUCAUAUGAGUUUCAAAGACAGCAGCAAUGAAGGAGUAUUCAGUCAAACUUUGGUGGAUGAUCUAUCAAGUAAUCGACAGAGCUAAGACAAAAAGAAUUAAAAAGUACAGAAUGAUUCCUUAAUGAAUAUACUUUAGGAGAAAGAGGAUUAAUGAAGGAAAUAUGCAAGUGCGUCGAAUGAGCGUUUUAUUGUUUUCGUGGUAAAUAGAAACUAAGUUGAACCAUCAUUAUAGUGAGGUGUUUGGUGGGAGCGCUAGGUUUCGGAGUGAAUCGGUAUUUGGUAAACAUUGAGUAAGAGGGAGAAAAAUUAAGAUCACAUUAGGAGAGGAGAAGAGAAGGGUAUUUGGAUGAGCAAAGAGUUAGCAAGUAC